AUGUGCCAGAAUUUUAAGAGCAAAAUAUUUUCCGGGGGCAACCUCCUUACGUGCAGCUUAAAGAAGGGCAGCUCUUACACCUGGCAGAGCAUUUGGGGUGGUAUUCAGACCUUCAAGAGAGGUCAUAUAUGAAGAGUAGGAGAUGGGUCUCAAAUAAAUAUAUGGGAGGACUCUUGGGUACCAAGCAGCCCCACUCGGAAAGUCAUGACACCAAGGGCGAACAUUGUAAUUACCAAGGUGUCGGAACUCAUCGAUGUGGAUAAUAGAGCUUGGGAUGAACAAUUAAUUAAUGAUCUAUUUUGACCAAUUGAUGCACAACGUAUCCUCAACAUUCCUUUGGCUUUAGGGAUGAUGGAUGAUUUUGUUUCUUGGCAUUUUAACAGAAGCGGAAAUUUUACGGUGAGGUCAGCGUAUCAUGAAGAAUGGGAACACCAACACGGACGAAAGUUGAGGAUGACAAAUUCGAUACAAGCCUCAAGUACUAGUCCAGUUUGGAGGACCAUUUGGAAACUACGUGUGCCUUUAAAAGUGAAAAUUCAUGUGUGGAAAACUUUGCUUGGAGCUCUUCCAUGCCAAGGAGUCUUAGCGAACAGACAUAUAGUUUCGAGUUCUCAAUGCCCCUUAUGCAGUUCAGAUUGUGAAAGCAUCCGACAUGCUUUAUCUUGUGCCCUCGAGUACAGGAGGUGUGGCGUUUGCUAG
rnacentral:rRNA from 1 species